rnacentral:rRNA from 1 species
AUUGAACGCUGGCGGCAUGCCUUACACAUGCAAGUCGAACGGUAACAGGUCUUCGGAUGCUGACGAGUGGCGAACGGGUGAGUAAUACAUCGGAACGUGCCCGAGAGUGGGGGAUAACGAGGCGAAAGCUUUGCUAAUACCGCAUACGAUCUCAGGAUGAAAGCAGGGGACCGCAAGGCCUUGCGCUCACGGAGCGGCCGAUGGCAGAUUAGGUAGUUGGUGGGAUAAAAGCUUACCAAGCCGACGAUCUGUAGCUGGUAUGAGAGGACGACCAGCCACACUGGGACUGAGACACGGCCCAGACUCCUGCGGGAGGCAGCAGUGGGGAAUUUUGGACAAUGGGCGCAAGCCUGAUCCAGCCAUGCCGCGUGCAGGAUGAAGGCCUUCGGGUUGUAAACUGCUUUUGUACGGAACGAAAAGACUCCUUCUAAUAAAGGGGGUCCAUGACGGUACCGUAAGAAUAAGCACCGGCUAACUACGUGCCAGCCGCCGCCGUAAGAC